UUUUUUUUUUUUUUUUUUUUUUUAAGUUAACAACAUAUGAAAUACUUGGAAAGCACUUGGGGGAAAGAACACUCCCGGCCCACAGGCCAGCAGGGUAAGUGCUCAGGAAUGUGGGAAGGUGAGUGCAGGGAAGAAGCUGCAGGAGGCAGGGAGGAGGUUGGAGGGGCAGGGUGGAUGGAGGUGAGGGAGAGUGACACAGAGGAGGAGACAGUAUGCUGAGCCCAGAGUGGAAACUGAGGCAGGUUUCACAGCAGAUGGGCUUUGAGAAAGAAAGACUGAUGCAUAAGUUUCAAGGUGUAGCUGGUGAGGUGGGGGCAGGAGGCACUGGGCUGGGGGAGGGGGAGAGGUCAUGGGGGAAUGGGCUUGAUAGAGAUGGGAGGUCCCAGUGACACCUUAUGACAGAUGCCUGGCCAGAGGCAGGGAAGGGUGAAAGAUGCUACAGGAUCAUGGGAUCAUGGAGAGGGCUGCCAUCCCAGCAGGCAAGGCAGGUGAGCACAGGGGUGGGGAGGAGGGGAGACAGGAAUGAGGAAGGUGGCAGGAGAAUGGAGCCAGGACACUGGAAGAAGCCCAGAGGGUCCCAUCCGCCUCCCGCACCUCCCAGAGAUGUGUCAGUGGCCCUCUGAUUUCUGCUGUCUUAAUUCUAUUGUCUUCUCUGACAGCAAGGAGACCCCUAGAAGUCCUCUGACUUGGGGAACAUUCUUCCAACUGUCUUUGGGUGCAUUAAGCGUGAGCACAGGAGUCCAGCAGGGCUGGAUAUCCAGUCGGCACAUGCCUAUGCCCCUCUCUUGGGCUGGUGGGGGGGGGGGGGUGUUGACUGUGUGCAGCUCUGUUACUGCAUUAGCAGCAUGUGGGGCUGCAUCCCCAGGGCUCCAAGGCCACUUCCGUACCUCUCCCUUUGUGUCUCUUUGUGCAUGGGAGUUCAUGAGGCAAUCAUGUUUGAGGGCCUCUCUGACCAGCGGGAUUCUCUGUGUGGUGCUGCCUUUGUCUCUCCCUCUGAGCCUCUGUAUGCGAAGGACUGUGUGUGUCUCUUCUGGUGUACCCUCUCCUUCUCCCUGCCCUGCUCCUUGCAGCCUCAGGCCCCGUUCAGAGGGUUAAGAUGGGACUGUGGAGUCGUAGGUGUACACGACUCCAGGUCUUUCUCCUGGCCUCUGGCUGACUCUGGGUACUGCAGCCCUGUUUGUAACUGGGUCUCUGGCUGCCAGUGAAUAAGUGUGUGUGUGUGUGUGUGUGUGUGUGUGUGUGUGCUCGAGUACCUCUGCCUACACAUGCCUCUGUGUCUUUCUCACACUCUCCCACCCUCUGCCUAUGGCUGAUACGGGUCCCUUACAGUUAGACACUGUGCCUCUAAUCCCCCCUGCACCUCUGGUGGUGAAGUGAAGUGUUCUCUGGCUCCUUCUUGCCAGCACUGUGGGUCGUAGGCACCCUCCCUGAGUCUGUGGCUCCCUGUGUCUCUGCCUGGCUCUCUUGCUCUCCCUCCUCUGUGUGUGUGGAUGGUGUGUGUUCCCAACUGACUCUCGCUUUCUUUCAGAAAUUAAGUGAGUAACUCUGUGUAUGUCUGGCUCCGUGGUGAUGCACCCUAAUUGUGUGAGUGUGUCUGUUUGGGAGUCAGGUCCCCUCUCUCUAGCUGUUGCCUCUAUCUCUCUGGCUCCCACCCUUCCCUGCCUUGUUUGAGGGUCUGUCUCAAAGCCUUCCUGCUGCUUCAUUCUCUGCCUCUCCUUUUUGAGUGCGCUGUGGACAAUCAGGUGGCCAGGAUUAGAGGAGACCCAGGGAAGAGAAGAAGGAAGGCGGGAAGGGGAAGAGAAGGGUGCAAGAUGUAAGUUAGAAGGAGCUAGGAGACAGAAGAUGCCACAGGAAGAGGGAGGGGCCCAUCCUGGCCAUGGUCCUGGGAAGCGGGGAGUUUUUAGGGGGGGAGAGGAUGCUGCCGGCUGCCGGGACCAGGAGGGAAGCAACUCC
rnacentral:lncRNA from 1 species